UACAGAGGUCUCAAGCGUUGUUCGGAUUCAUUGGGCGUAAAGGGUGCGUAGGUGGCGCGGUAAGUCGGGUGUGAAAUCUCGGAGCUUAACUCCGAAAUUGCAUUCGAUACUGCCGUGCUUGAGGACUGGGAGAGGAGACUAGGAAUUCGAUGGUGUAGCAGUGAAAUGCGUAGAGAUCAUGAGGAAGACCAGUGGCGAAGGCGGGGUCUCUGGACAGUUCCUGACACUGAGGCACGAAGGCCAGGGGAGCAAACGGGG
rnacentral:rRNA from 1 species